AUUUAUGUAGUUUACUAAAAACAAUACAUUUUCAUUGUAUAGAUAAUUUACCAAAAUUCAUAAAUA
rnacentral:tRNA from 1 species